rnacentral:rRNA from 1 species
UACGUAGGAGGCAAGCGUUGUCCGGAAUUACUGGGCGUAAAGCGCGUGUAGGCGGUCUGAAUAGUCUGCUGUGAAAGCGCCUGGCUUAACCGGGCGAGGUCGGCGGAAACUCUCAGACUGGAGGCCGGUAGAGGGGGGUGGAAUUCCCGGUGUAGCGGUGAAAUGCGUAGAUAUCGGAAGGAACACCUGUGGCGAAAGCGGCUCACUGGACCAUUACUGACGCUGAGGCACGAAAGCUAGGGGAGCAAACAGG